GCGUCAGUAUUGCAACGGUUUAGCACGCGCAUCGGAUGGGGUGAAAUGUGGGUUCGAAUCCCAGCUGACGCA